rnacentral:snoRNA from 1 species
UCUUGUGAUGAAAACUCCGUCCAGUUCUGCUACUGAAGGGAGAGAGAUGAAAGCCUUUGAAAAAAAAAA